rnacentral:rRNA from 1 species
AUGAACGCUGGCGGCGUGCCUAAUACAUGCAAGUCGAACGAGAACCAUUGUAGCAAUACGAUGGUUCUAGUGGCGAACGGGUGAGUAACGCGUUGGUGAUCUGCCCCGAAGUGGAGGAUAACAGUCCGAAAGGACUGCUAAUACUCCAUGUGGCUGCAAGAGUUAGAGGUCUUGCUACCAAAGAAGCAAUUCGCUUCGGGAGGAGCCUGCGUCCCAUCAGCUAGUUGGUAGGGUAAUGGCCUACCAAGGCUUAGACGGGUAGGGGACCUGAGAGGGUGACCCCCCACACUGGAACUGAAACACGGUCCAGACACCUACGGGUGGCAGCAGUAGGGAAUAUUGCACAAUGGGCGAAAGCCUGAUGCAGCAACGCCGCGUGUACGAUGAAGGCCUUCGGGUUGUAAAGUACUUUUAUGAGGGAAGAGCAAGGACUGUACCUCAUGAAUAAGGAUCGGCUAACUACGU